CGACGUAGGUAACCUGCUUUGUAGCGGGGGAUAACUAUUGGAAACGAUAGCUAAUACCGCAUAACAAUGGAUGACCCAUGUCAUUUAUUUGAAAGGGGCAAAUGCUCCACUACAAGAUGGACCUGCGUUGUAUUAGCUAGUAGGUGAGGUAACGGCUCACCUAGGCGACGAUACAUAGCCGACCUGAGAGGGUGAUCGGCCACACUGGGACUGAGACACGGCCCAG
rnacentral:rRNA from 1 species